AUACGGAGGGUGCAAGCGUUGUCCGGAUUUAUUGGGUUUAAAGGGUGUGUAGGCGGUGUAUUAAGUCAGUGGUGAAAGCCUGCGGCUCAACCGUAGAACUGCCAUUGAUACUGACACACUUGAGUUUGGUUGAGGUAGGCGGAAUUUAUGGUGUAGCGGUGAAAUGCAUAGAUACCAUAAAGAACACCGAUAGCGAAGGCAGCUUACUAAGCCGAAACUGACGCUGAGGCACGAAAGUGUGGGGAGCGAACAGGAUUAGAUACCCCGGUAGUCC
rnacentral:rRNA from 1 species